rnacentral:rRNA from 1 species
UACGUAGGGUGCAAGCGUUAAUCGGAAUUACUGGGCGUAAAGCGUGCGCAGGCGGUUUUGUAAGUCAGAUGUGAAAUCCCCCGGGCUUAACCUGGGAACUGCGUUUGAAACUACAAGGCUAGAGUGUGGCAGAGGGGGGUGGAAUUCCACGGUGUAGCAGUGAAAUGCGUAGAUAUGCGGAGGAACACCGAUGGCGAAGGCAAUCCCCUGGGCCUGCACUGACGCUCAUGCACGAAAGCGUGGGGAGCAAACAGG